AUCACUUCUCAGUCUUUUGGCUAAGAUCAAGUGUAGUAUGAGUUCUUAUCAGUAUAAUAUCUUUUUUUUUGAGACGGAGUCUUGCUCUGUUGCCCAGACUGGACUGCAGCAGCGCAAUCUCA
rnacentral:snRNA from 1 species